rnacentral:rRNA from 1 species
CCCUUAGAUGUUCUGGGCCGCACGCGCGCUACACUGACUGGUGCAACAAGUGUCUGACCUUGGCUCGAGAGGCCUGGGCAACCUUUGAACGCCAGUCGUGCUGGGGAUAGAUUCUUGCAAUUAUUAAUCUUCAACGAGGAAUUCCUAGUAAACGCAAGUCAUCAGCUUGCAUUGAUUACGUCCCUGCCCUUUGUACACACCGCCCGUCGCACCUACCGAUUGAAUGGUCCGGUGAAAUCUCCGGACUGGCGUGAGUCGGAGCAAUCUGACAAACGCCGGAAAGUUGAUUAAACCUUACCAUUUAGAGGAAGGUGAAGUCGUAACA